UUUUCUUUUUAAAUUGGUCUAACGUGGAAUCUAUUUUCUGCACCACUAGCCAAACGUUGGGUUUACUUAUAACCAUGAGGGGAUAAACAAAUUCACCAGUUCUAAGUCCUUGGAGAAGUCUUUUGCUCAUUUGAGCUUUUUCAGUAUUAUCAAAUUCGUUAAAUGAUCUUCGUAGAAGUCUUCUGCAUUUUAUGUGCAGUUGUGAAGGAUCUUAAGUAUCAUGACUCUCAUGAGUGGAUUAACGUUGAUUCUGUUGGCAUAACCAACCAUGCUCAGAAUUAUUUCGGUGAUGUUGUCUGUUGAAUUACUAGAAAUGGGGGCUCCUGUAUCACAGGGCAGCAGCUUUGGUGUGGUUGAAAGUGAUAUUUAUUGUCCCAUUUUUUGGAAAGUGGUUGAAGUGAACUAAGAGCUCGAUGACUCCCUGGAUCUGGUAGUUGCUGUCAGUAUGGACAAUGAUCUGUUGCUAUAGUGGUGGAAAGUGUGGUGUGUAUUUUUUUAAUUAAAUCAUAUGAAAUAUAGGCUGUGUGAUAUCUCAAAUGUAAUAUGAUUGUUGAACACACUAGUACCAUGAUUAUUAUUUGACUUAUUGAACUCACUUCUUUGAGAUUUAAAUUUGUCAUCGGACUACUUAUCAAAAAAAAAAAAAAAAAGGUCAUGGGACUAAGAUACUAGUGGCUCAUUUUUUAAGAGAAUUUCUAAGAACAAAGAAGGAAUUGUAUAGAUGUAAAAGGGUUUUAAAUGCUUUUGAAGCUUAACACGCCAAAUUCUUAAUUUGUCAGUGCAUUGCUCAUCUCUCUCUCUCUUAAUGCUUUUAUUGGAGUUCUGUUUUCUCUUAGGAAGUUAUCUGAUUAAAUUUCUAAUUGAUAUAUCCAUAUGGAAUAAAGAUGGUUCUCUAAUACAAAUGAUAAUCUAGUUCAUUGAUUUUGUAGUAUGCAGCAAUAUCUUUUCAUUUCUAGAUAUAGAAUCACUUAAGGGGAAGAAGCUUUACUAUAGUGUGUCGGUGUUGUGGAGAGGCAGUGGAUCACUUGUUGGUUCACUGCAAGGUUGCGUACCAAUUGUGGAGUCUUGCUUUGAGAUCUUUUUGUGUCUCUUGUUUUACCUGAGAGAGUGGUUGACCUUUUGUUUGGGUGGUACAAUUGGUUGGGGAAGCACUCCUCGGGUAUUAGGAACUUGGUGCCAUUAUGCUUGAUGUGGACAAUUUGGAGGAACGAAACAGGCGUACAUUUGAGGAUUUGGAGAGUAUGGGGGACAAGCUCAUUGCCUCAUUUAUAGACUCUUUGUUUGAUUGGUCUCAUGCUUAGGGAUUCACAUCUAGUGAUUCCAUUCCCAUGUUUUUUGAGUCUCUUUCUUGUUGUACAUAGCUUCUGUUUUUUUGGCAUAAUUAUUUUGGCUACUUUAUGCUUUCUUUUUUUAAAUUAAGCAUUCUUGUCUUUCAAAAUAUUAAUUGUUGAGAUGGGAUCUUUUUUGGUUUAUUAGAAAAUUGAUCUGCUUUCUCCAUGUUACAUGUGGUUUUGAAGGAUCUUAAGUACCUUGACUCUCAUGAGUGGGUGAAAGUUGAGGGGAAUUCUGCUACUGUUGGUAUAACCGACCAUGCUCAGGAUCAUUUAGGUGAUGUUGUCUACAUUGAAUUAUCGGAAGUGGGAGCUCCAGUAUCACAGGGCGACAGCUUUGGUGUGGUUGAAAGUGUCAAGGCUACUAAUGAUAUUAAUUCUCCCAUUUCAGGGAAAGUGGUUGAAGUAAACGAAGAGCUCAAUGACUCCCCUGGUCUGCCCAUAUGACAAAGGAUGGAUAAUUAAGGUUGAGGUGAGCGAUAGUGGUGAAUUGAAGAGCUUGAUGGAUGCAGAUAAGUACACCAAGUUCUGUGAAGAAGAUAAUAUUCACUGAGUGACUAUGGCCACGAAGAACUUUGGGCAAUUUUCAUGUAGGGGUUGUUCAUGGAUAAUCACGAUAAAUUACACAAUCCUUUAAGUGUGUGGUGCACAUAUCUUUCUUUCUAUUUUUAUCCAAACGUGUGCUUUCGCGGUUCUUCUUUUGUUACCUGAGAGCUAUAAAUUUAGUGGAUUUCUUAAGCAAAUAAUCAUUCUGGGUUUUUAGUUUCAUCUAUUGGUGCUGUUUAGGCAGGUUUGUGGUUUGAGAACCAUUUUCAUAAUAUUCGUUUGAGUUGAAUACUUAUUCAACAUAUGGGAUCUCAUUUUCUUGAUGCAUGGAGAACGCUUUCUUAUUCA